UACGGCCGUAUUAUGUUGAAACACCGGUUCACGUAGGUCCCCCGAAUUUAAGCAACGUCGAGCUUUCUCAGUACCUAGAUGGGUGACCGCUUGCGAAUACCAGGUACUGUAAG